GAGUCUGCUUCGUGCUUUUGGGAAGCCUAGAUCAGAACAGCUUUAUUUUGAAGAAACCUAAAGCUUAAUGAAUAACAAUAAAGAACCAUAAAUAAAGAGAAAAUGGGAUAAAGUGUUUGCACCUGGCCUGAAGUGUAAUACAGCACAGAUACGAGUCAUCUGCUCCCAACUGCCCUACACAAUAUAGUUAUUUCCUUCCCUUUCAGGGGUGUCAAACUGGCGUCCUACAGGCAGGAUGCGUCAUGUGCAGGCCACUCCCACUCCAGCUCCGUGAAGGGAAAAAACAUCUUGAAAUGGCAACGUGACACCGCAGGUCACAACUAAAGUGCUGUUUUCAAAGGACCGGAGAGACAAUGUAAGUAAUCGUGGAAAAGAAUAGGAACAUAGUGACGUCAAUGAGGGCAUUACAGGUAGCUAACAGGAAAACCAACCAACCAACCAACCAACCAACCAACCAACCAACCAACCAACCAACCAACCAACCAACAGAAGCCUAGUGCAGUGAUCCCCAACCCCUGGGCCAUGGCAUGCCAGAAACCAGUCCGCAACAAACAAGAGAAGGCCCAUCCGUGGGAUUCAGGCAUCAUGUGAAAUCACAUACCCUCCAUUCUGCAGAAAAACCUCUCUCCACUGAAUCGGUCUCUGGUGCCCAAAAGGUUGGGGGCAAUUGUUUGGUGCAGUAAUGGCAAAUCUUUUAGACACUGAGUGCCCAAACUCCUUUGCCUUUUAGAGAAAUGGCUGUCUUGUUAAAAGAAACUGAGUGGUCAAUUUUGAAAAUCCACAGCUCGAGGGCAGCUUAGUUAAAAGCACUUUAAACAUAGCAUUGCAUUCAUUUUAUUCUGUUUACCAAAGUUGGGAACAAGAUUUUUAAGUUGGUAAGUGUUCUUCAUGUGACAUACAAAAUGACUAUAAAAAUGAUAAAACCCAGAUGAUACAAAACCAUUUUUUUUAAAAAAGGAUAGGGAUAGCAACAUUCCACCUAAAAACAGGAGUAGUCAACAUUCAACAUCAUUUCAUAAGACCUAGUAGCAACCAGUGAUACCUAAUGCAAGGAUACCUAAUGGAUUUCUUUUGGAUGGCAAUUUAAGAAAGCCAAUCCUACCGCAGAAAAGAAUUUGCUUGUGCUAUUCCAAGCUCUAAACAAGCUCUUUCAAAUGGCAUGAGAAAUGUUCCACACUAAAUAAAUCAGAACUAGCAACAUGGAAAGGGACACGGUGGUUCAGUGGCUAAGACGCUGAGCUUGUCGAUCAGAAUGAUUGGCAAUUCGGUGGUUCG